rnacentral:rRNA from 1 species
CCUACGGGGGGCAGCAGUGGGGAAUAUUGCACAAUGGGCGCAAGCCUGAUGCAGCCAUGCCGCGUGUGUGAAGAAGGCCUUCGAGUUGUAAAGCACUUUCAGCGGGGAGGAAGGCGGUGAGGUUAAUAACCUCAUCGAUUGACGUUACCCGCAGAAGAAGCACCGGCUAACUCCGUGCCAGCAGCCGCGGUAAUACGGAGGGUGCAAGCGUUAAUCGGAAUUACUGGGCGUAAAGCGCACGCAGGCGGUCUGUCAAGUCGGAUGUGAAAUCCCCGGGCUCAACCUGGGAACUGCAUUCGAAACUGGCAGGCUAGAGUCUUGUAGAGGGGGGUAGAAUUCCAGGUGUGGCGGUGAAAUGCGUAGAGAUCUGGAGGAAUACCGGUGGCGAAGGCGGCCCCCUGGACAAAGACUGACGCUCAGGUGCGAAAGCGUGGGGAGCAAACAGGAUUAGAUACCCGUGUAGUC